UACAGAGGGUGCAAGCGUUGUUCGGAAUUAUUGGGCGUAAAGGGCGCGUAGGCGGUGCGGUAAGUCUGCAGUGAAAUCUCUGGGCUCAACUCAGAGUCUGCUGUAGAAACUGCCGUGCUUGAGUGUGGGAGAGGUGAGUGGAAUUCCCGGUGUAGCGGUGAAAUGCGUAGAUAUCUGGAGGAACACCGGUGGCGAAGGCGGCAUCCUGGACCAACACUGACACUGAGGAGCGAAAGCCAGGGGAGCAAACGGG
rnacentral:rRNA from 1 species